rnacentral:tRNA from 1 species
GCCUCCGUAGCUCAACGGCAGAGCAACUGAUUUGUAAUCAGUAGGUUGGGGGUUCAAGUCCCUCCGGGGGCUCCA